GACGGGGGGUCCAAGCGUUGUUCGGAAUCAUUGGGCGUAAAGAGGGCGUAGGCGGCCAUGUAAGUCAGGAGUGAAAGCCCUGGGCUCAACCCAGGAAGUGCUCUUGAUACUGCUUGGCUUGAAUGUGGGAGAGGGUAGUGGAAUUCCAGGUGUAGCGGUGAAAUACGUAGAUAUCUGGAGGAACACCGGUGGCGAAGGCGGCUACCUGGCCCAACAUUGACGCUGAGGCCCGAAAGCGUGGGGAUCAAACAGG
rnacentral:rRNA from 1 species